UACGGAGGGUGCGAGCGUUGUCCGGAAUCAUUGGGCGUAAAGGGCGCGUAGGCGGCCACUUCAAGCGUGCGGUGAAAGCUCGGAGCUCAACUCCGAGUCGGCCGUGCGAACUGGGCUCACUGGAGCAUAGUAGAGGCAGGUGGAAUUCCGGGUGUAGCGGUGGAAUGCGCAGAUAUCAGGAGGAACACCGGUGGCGAAGGCGGGUCUCUGGGCCGAAAUUGACGCUGAGGAGCGAAAGCGUGGGGAGCAAACAGG
rnacentral:rRNA from 1 species